AAAAAAUGGCAACAUAGUCAUAACGGCAUGGCAGAAUUUUUAUUUUUGGUUGAAAUAUUUCUUUAAUGGCAAACACAAGCAAAAACAGAACAUUUAUGGUUGAAGCCAGACAGAGUUAAAGGAUUGCAGACAGAGGGCUGUGGUUAAGAUUAUUCUAGUGAUUGGUGUGGGAAAUUGGUCAAGGAGUUUUAUUUUUAGAUUGUUAUCCGGAUUUGGGUCUCAAUCUUUAAUAUUUGUUCAUUCUUAAGUGACAGCAGCGCUGCAGUUUUGUUUUCAUAGCACUGGUCCGACAAUCCUGGAGACAGUGAGUGUCUCUGUUUCUCCUCCAGAUGCGUGCUAAGGACCAAUAGACAGGAGAAGUCUUCUCAUCUAAUUGAAGUCAAUAACAAACCUCACUGUUGGAGGUUUUCCUUGAUCGUUUGGAGACCUUAAGGAGCAGGGAGGAUACCCGGCCGGUUGCAUUACUCCCUUAGUAAGAACUGGCUGCAAUUCAGCAUUUUACACACCAGGAAACAGCUUCAAAGACUUCCAGCUUACACUAAAAGAACUGAGAUGAAGUAAAUCUUGCCACAGGUUGCCUGCAGUGGCAGGUUUAAGUCCACAGGCUCCAUGACGAAUACACCCUUGCUCCAUGUUGGCAGUCAAGUCUCAUACACCACUCGAGGUAUCAUCUUACCUCCCUGCAGAGAGGAGAGAGUCUGGCCAGCCUGUCAGGAUCUGGAAUCUCAUCCCUGUCAAUACACACAGCAGAUACAGGCUAAAAAACAAUGACUGUUUUCCUACCCUCAGUGCUGUUUUUCCAGCACUUCCUUUUUCUAAUUUCAUCACACAGAGUUAUAUUGUCUGGUCUUAGCGUGUGUGUGUGUGUGUGUGUGUGUGUGUGUACAGGUUUAUAUUGCAUUGUGGGGAGUAAAACCUGAAAUCACCCACAAAGACAGCGAAACAGAGUGUGUGUGUGCGUGCAUUCAAUGUUAAGUUGUAUGGUUUUGAAAGAGUUGAUCACAUCGAGUUUUCAAAUGUCUUUUCAGACCGCAUUCACUAUAACAAGUCAAAACAGAUUUAAUUAAAGGCCAUGGAUCAUAUUUGUAAUAACUUGUUUUGAUUCAUGCCUUUU